rnacentral:rRNA from 1 species
AGAGUUUGAUCAUGGCUCAGAACGAACGCUGGCGGCGUGCUUAACACAUGCAAGUCGAGUGCGCGCCUGUAGCAAUACAGGUNNNGCACGGCGCACGGGUGCGUAACACGUGGGUAACCUGCCCUUUAGUGGGGAAUAACCUCGCGAAAGCGAGGCUAAUUCCGCAUAAGAUCCGCAAGGAUGAAAGCCGAAAGGCGCUGAUGGAGGGGCCCGCGCACGAUUAGCUAGUUGGUGAGGUAAUGGCUCACCAAGGCUAUGAUCGUUAGCUGGUCUGAGAGGAUGGCCAGCCACACUGGAACUGAGACACGGUCCAGACUCCUACGGGAGGCAGCAGUGGGGAAUCUUGCACAAUGGGCGAAAGCCUGAUGCAGCGACGCCGCGUGGGGGAUGAAGCUUCUCGGAGUGUAAACCCCUUUCGACCCGGACGAAUACCUCGCAAGAGGGGUGACGGUACGGGUAUAAGAAGCCCCGGCUAACUACGUGCCAGCAGCCGCGGUAAGACGUAGGGGGCCAGCGUUGUUCGGAAUUACUGGGUGUAAAGGGUUCGUAGGCGGUGUGGCAAGUCGGGAGUGAAAUUUCUGGGCUCAACUCAGAGACUGCUUCCGAAACUGCUGUGCUGGAGUGUGGGAGAGGCGCGUGGAAUUGCAGGUGUAGCGGUGAAAUGCGUAGAUAUCUGCAGGAACACCCGUGGCGAAAGCGGCGCGCUGGACCACUACUGACGCUGAGGAACGAAAGCUAGGGGAGCAAACAGGAUUAGAUACCCNNGUAGUCC